UUAGAACAUUCACAUUAAAUAUCAUUAGUCUCACAAAUAUUCAUGAUUCCAGUGUGAAUCUCUAACUUUGUAUAGAUGAAAUGAUGAGAGCAUGUCGUUAAGAAGAAAAUAAAAAGGAAAGGACUCUAAAAUUAUGUGAAAUGUUGUAACGUGUAAUCUAAUUCAUCUCAAAGUAUGUUAAUCAAACAAGACUUCCUUUAUCGUUGACAUUCUCCUUCACGCGUGCCAUUAAUUUCAGGGGGGCUGAAGUUAAGGAAAUGGUAUGGGGCAUCUGACCUCCUUCCAAAAGAUGGAUCCCUUUCAGAAGAAAAUGAGUUUUCUGAAUGGAAGAAGAUGAAGUCAGGGAUGCAGUUUUAGUUACCGAUGGAGAUAAUGAGAUUGGCCAGAUGGUUAUAUUGUCUUUGAUAAUCAAAUGAACUCGAAUCAAAGCUCUGGUAAAGGAUAAGCGGGCUAUAAAUGAAAGCUUUUGGUUGGUGGCAUUCUUAUAUAUUUUUUAAGUAUCAUUUAUUUGGUUGUAUUUUAAUACUUAAUCUUCCUAAGCUGCUAUGAAGCCAAUAGUAGGUGAGAAUAUUGAAGAUUUUGUAUAAUCUAAAGUAAUUUAAUUUGUCUCUUUUUUUCAAGGUCUGUUUGUUACAUUAUUUUGUGGUGUAUAACUUACUAUUAUA